UGGAGCCCCCGAGUGGGUGUGGUCACGUUGUCCAGCACUAGGCGGUGAUUGGCUCUAAGAGGUGCUAACGUAGCUUGUGCGUCACGACGCCGCCAGCUGAUCGGAGACUGGAGCCGGUGUGUGCUGGGCACUGGGAAGAGACAGCGCCGCCGGUCGUGGGGAUCGGACGCUGUGAUUUGCUCCCCUAUCCUCUGCAACCCCCAUAGCCCAGCACCAGGAGCCUGUGCCUCCCACAUCCUCACCUGGCUGAGCCGCAGUAGUUCUUCAGUGGCAAGCUUUAUGUCCUGACCCAGCUAAAGCUGCCAGUUGAAGAACUGUUGCCCUCUGCCCCUGGCUUCGAGGAGGAAGAGGAAGAGAAGGAGCUGCUUUUCCUAGCAUCUGGAAGCACCAGUGGCUGGGACAUGGUUGAGGGGGGGAAGACCAGGGUGAGACCAGUGUAAAGGGCCACUAAAUGUUCACUGUCUGCAUUGACUUCUCACCAAUCAGGGUGACCCAAGGCUUCUGUCCCACAAAGUAGAGACUGCAACUCUGAGUUCUAGCUGCCUCUGCUGUUUCUUCUCUCAGUUAAUAUUUCAGAACAGUGAGAGAGAGAGUCAAUUUAGGCCUGUAAAGCCAGCAAAUUGUCCCCUCCAGCAUGAAGUGUGGGAUGUGAUCACUUUUGGUUAUCAAGCAGUAUAAAUCUGCCACCUUUAGCUCCCAAUCCAUUCUUAUUUUUGUGCUUGGGCUCAGGUUUUCAUGUGGUUCAGUGUGGGCCAGUCUCUCUAAUGGAUGAUGGCCAAAUUCAGGGGUUACAGGAAUUUAUUUGUCCUGUUGGGUGGAAGGAGAUAAAUAAAUGGAGACUGUAUUCUCCAUUUAUUAGAAACUGAAAGAUAUGAGAGUGUAGACCAUUCAACCCUACCCCUCUACAGCCUAAGCUCUGGGUAGGAUGUGUGUGGUACUAUAGUGGAGUGGGUGUGGGUAGACUCAGUCUACUCAUAGGCUUGAACAAAGAUCACUCUGUCCCCUGGACAUUGCCUCUGUCCUCUCUUACCCUCAUUGCUUCACUGGCCACAAUGUAUUUCUCCAGUGCUGGGUAUGUGGCUCUGCUAUCUUUACCCAACAUGGAGCAGGAAUAAAGAAUGGCAACUUGGCAAUACAGAGGCAGUCAGAAGAUCAGUGAAGGAUCUGGUCUGGAGGCUCUCUGGAAAUCAAGAAGGACUUCUAAAGGCCUGACCACCUAAGGAGAAGGGAGAACAGCCAGUCUCCAUCAAGGACAAACUUCCUUCCAUUUCUCUCCAGUCCUGCCUCCUUCAGAGAUGUGGCAGCAUAGUAAAGUGUCCUGUGGCUUUGCCCUCCUUCUGCCUCCAACCCACCCUGUAAUUUUUGUAUAAGCAGCCUCAAGAAGUCAUGAGCCAGCUGUGAAAGGACAUACAUAGGAAAUUCAUAAAAGAAAUGCAAAUGUAUAAAACCAUAAAAAAGCAUUCUUCAUUAGUAAUUAAAGGAAGACAGAUAUUACUAGAAUCAUUUUUCCCUUAGCGUGCUAUGACAGAAAUAAAUAAGAUCCAGUACUGGCAAAAGAACACUGCCAUACAUUGCAUGUAGGAAUCUAAACUAGUACAGCAUCCUGGAUGGAAGUUUUAUAAUAUAUAUCAAUCAAACACCCUAUGAGCUAGGAUGUAGCCCAGUGUCAAAGUGCUUGCCUAGCAAAUACAACAUUCUGGGUUCAAUCCCCAGAACCCCUCCCCCCAAAAUACACUUAACUCCCUCCAAAAAAAAAUCCCAAAAGGUUCCAUGUUCCUUUGACCUAAUAAUUCUGCUUGGGAACUCAUCUUAAGAAAAUAAUUAAGGUUUUUACUGUAAAAUGUUUGUCUCAGGGUUGCCAUAAAGAAAAAUGCAGCAACUGCUUGGGCAUUCAUUCUUUUCUGCUGUAAUGAAAAUUUGCAAUCAGGGAUUGCUUAAGUAAAUUAUUGUAUAUGCAACCAGAUGGUGGAGUACUGUGCAACCAUUAAAAGUCAUGUAGAAGACAUUUGACUGGAAAGAAAAGAAAAAUGCUCUUGGAAUAUUAAAAAGGUUAUAAAAAUAGUGUGUAUUUUUUUGAGACAGGAUCUUGCUUUGUAGUCUAUGUUGUCCUCAAAUUCACCAGCUUCGUCUUCAUGCUUUUGCUUCCUGAGUGUGGGAAUUACAGUCAUAUACUACCAUACCUGGCUAUAUUUUAUUAUCUUAAUUUUGCUUUUAAACAAAAUUUGUAUUUAAAGUAUGAGUGUGAAGUUGAAUAUAUAGACUAUAUAUUUUAAACACUCUGAAGACAUAUUCAAGAAUGAAAAUAGUGGUUAUCUUUCAAUGAUGGAAUUAC